ACAAGGGAACAGACAUAAUUUUAUUUUAUAAGGAAAAUGAUUAUUUAAUUAGUUAAGUGAAAGUUAAAACUAACACUCUUUUUCUAUGGAAAAACGACAUGAAACAUUUGAGAGGAAACCAUAGUUCAAAGUUAAUACGACAUGUCGUUAAUGCAGAGGAAUAUAUAUGGAGAGCGUGAAAAUGGCUCGAACAGUGAUCGAGAGAGAAUAAGAGAGAGAUGGGAGUAGCGAGCAAGGCAGGGGAUUGGGCAUUCAAAGCUUUUACGGCGAGCCUCGGCGUGGUAACCGUUUAUCUCACCGCCACUUUCUCCGUCAAUGUUUACAAAGGCCUUGCUUGGCACAAAGCUCAAUCGAAAAUCAACAAUCAGGAUUCUAACGAGGAACCACAAUGAUGUUAAAUCAACAAUCAGGGUUCGAACUUUGAAUUUACAGCAUUUAUGUUUUUUCUGUACGAGUACAAGUAUGAAUUAUAUUUUAGGUUUAAAAACCUCUGUUAAUCUACUUGGUUCAAUUUUAUGAUGAUUUGAGAUCCUUGGUUCAAUAUGUAGACUCGAGUGUAGUUCGAGUUCAUUUUUUUUAAUUUCACAUGAUAUUUUUUUGUCCAUGGAAAUAAGUUUGUUUCUUUAUGAGAGAAAAAGAAUAUUUUUUUUUAUUGUUAGAGUUGGAGAGUGCAGUGCUCCGUAAAGCAUAUCAUCCAUUAUUGUGUACACUUAUAUGAAUGUUAAUUUUUUUCUGAG